rnacentral:ncRNA from 1 species
UUCAUCCAGAGCAGCAGAGGGAAACGGCCCGCUGAAGCUGCGGCAACCACCGUCGUGUGACGGAAGGUGCCAAAUCCGUCCGGUCGAGACCGGAAAGAUGAGG